CAGCUUGGAGAAGGCUCUGGGGAGACCUCAUUGCUGCCUUCCAGGUCUUAAAGGGAGCUAAUAAACAGGAGGAAGAGUGACUUUGUACACAGUCUUAUAGCGAAAGGAAAAGGGGGAAUGGCUUUAAACUAAAAGAGAGGAAAUCUAGAUUAGAUUAGAUGUUUAGGGGAAACUUUUAACUCAGAGGGUGGUGAGGAACCGGCACAGCUGCCCAGUGGAGCUGUGGUUGUUCCAUUCCUGGAGGGGUUCAAGGCCUGGUUGGAUGGGGCCCUGGGCAGCCUGAGCUGGCAGCCUGUGGCAGGGGUUGGAACGGGACGGGCUUUGAGGUCCAUUCCAAGCCAACCAUUCUGUGAUUCUAUGAAAAUGAGCACAGAGAGGAGGCCGUCACCUUUCACAGCCCCUGCCAUCCUGCAGAGGAGAGGCUGUGAUUCUUAAUACCUUUUUAGAGCCUUGAUGACUGCUGUGAGAAUACAAAAAAUAAGUAUGGCUGUAAUCCUACAGCUGCUUCUGGCAGCACCACAGAGUGCCAUUAUCUGCCUGAGAGAGGUGCGGGUUUCAGGUAUAAUGAGGUACUUAAUCUCUUAUCAAAGGACUCCUGUAUUUCGUCUGUGUAUUCCUUUUUACUGUCUUGGUUUGUCACAGAGGCUCCUGGGUGCAUAAGACUCGCAUAAAAUUUUAGUGCAGGUUCUCCCCAUGAGAUGUUUCUGACCAUACCAAUUGUACCACGUGCUGUGGAAGGAAGCUAUCAGCAUUCGCAUAAACCAGUGCUGUUCUGCUUGUUAAAAAGUUCCAGAUUAAGGACAAAGACUUUUAAUCAAAAUGCAGAAGUACUCAGUCCUUAGAAACACGUUUAUGAUGGACUCUCAUGCUGUCACUGGCAGACAGGCUUGGGUCAGGUGUUUCUGCUGUACAGGGAAUGUGAGUAAGCACACAGAGCUGCGGGAGUUCUGCCAAAGCAGGUUUAGCACUCCUCUGGAUGCAAAAGAGACGUGGUCCUGGAAGGAGCAGAUGCUGUAGCAGAGCAGUUACCAAGAGAAGGAUUAGGCUGCAGUGUGGUAACUGCCUGCUAGACAACAUGUGCAGCACUGGGAAAAAUACUGAUCUUUGUUUUUUUCUUUUUCAGUAAGCUGGUGUGAUCUGGACCCCAGCCUUGCUGAGGAUUUCUGAGGAAUGCUGCUCCUGGGCCAGCAUUAGUGUUUUUAAUUUACGCCAGCUAUCGGUCGUGACUGUGCCGUGAAUUUUGUGUGAUGUAACGUACAGGUUUUCUUCCUGAUUAGCUAAAAGGAUGCAUCUUGCUUUAAUUAUCAUCCUUCAUUUAGCAUUUUGAGGCCACUCGCACAUUUCCGCAGAUACCGGCUGUCCCGGGGCUGUGUGCAGUCACUCCUCUGCCACAUCCCUGCAGGCAGUACCAGUGCCUCAGCCCUCACUGUCAUAGCGUUGAUUCACCCAUCAGUUCCCCACCCAUCCUGUCUCUUCCUCCAUCCUGGACCUUCUCACGCAUUCAAGAGGCAACGCCUUUGCCCAGCUUCUGUUGUAACCUCACCUGGGAGUGGGCUUGGGAUUGUGGUACCCCAGCCCUGGCUGGCAUCGUGCUCCUGUGCCACAAGAAUGAGCUGUUGGCAAGGCCCAUGCAGGGACAGAGCUCUGCUCAGGUUGUCCAUCAGCAUGUGCUCCUGGUGAUUGACCACCACUGUGAGAACAGCUGCCCAGGUGGCAGGCAGGGCAUACAGCCAGCUGGAGGAGAGUGGGGAGAAGGGGAGUACAAAGGGCGUGGGAAGGACUGGAUGAAAGGGGAGAGAGGUUCAGGCUGGAUAUCAGGAAAAGGUUCUGCACCAGAGGCUGGUGGGCAUGGAACAGGCUGCCCAGGGCAGUGCACACAGCCUUGAGGUGUGUGGAGCUAGGAGCUGGACUUGAUGAUCUUUAUGAGUCCAUUCCAGCCCAGGAUGUUAUAUGAUUCUCUGAAAGGAGGGGAACAAAGGCUGUAAUUCUGCCUGGGCAGUGGGGUGGGGUUCUGCAACAGUGUCCUACUUAUUUAUCUGUGGAUUUUUGUCUUUGCUUUAAGCUUUGCAUGGCACGUCUGUGUGCUGCCUGCCCAAUUCUGAGCAGUGCUGACUUUGUCAUGAACACAGAUAUUUUAAUUGCAUUUCUUCCUCUUUCUGUAUGUUUGAAUUAUUUUUAGGUGCUUGUGAUGUUAGCUAUACUGCCCAGGGAGGCCUGGAGUGAAGGUUUUACUGUGCCUUUUUAUUACUUUUUAAAGAUACCAAUGGGUUCCCACAGUGCUCCUUCUCUCCUUCUCCCCUCUGCUCAGUAUUUAUAAUCAAGAGCCAUUAUGAUUGUUUAUUAGAUGGUGGUUACAGCAGUUUUGAGUAUGCAUAUGGGGAUGCUUAUGUUUUGUCUCUCCACUUCUCAUCCCAUCCUGUUUUGCAGAAUAAAGCUGUUUUGAUGCCCUCCCCUACCUUUCUGUUCUCUCCCUCCUCUUUUUAACCACUGAUCUAUGAAAAAUUGCUUAUUGAUUUCAGGUGCCUUCCAGCUGAUGAGAACCUGUAUGAAGGUUCCCAGUGCCAUCUCAGUCUCUCUGGAGCAGAUGUUGGAGGAUUGGCUGAGUGCUGCUCGCUGGGGAUGCCUGCAUGCCCCCAGAUGCCUCAGGGUGCCUCAGAUGGCACCAGACAGACGAGCAGGCAACAGGGCCUGUUCCCAGUGCAUCAGUCUGCAUGGAAGUGUCCCCACGUAAACAGAAAUGACUUAACUGGGAUGGUGUCUCCCCGAGAGCUUUGCUGAUAGUGCUGCUGUGUGAUCCUUGUUCCUGUCUAAGGGGACAGCAAGAGCUGCGCAGCACCCAAGAAACAUGCAGUGAGUGACCUUUAAUGCCUCCACCAGAUCUCCGGGCUUUCGGUUGCCCGAGUGUCCAAGGAUGUUGGGUAGGGCUGGAUAAGAGUCCCUUUCCCAGCAGGAUCCAAGCUUGUGGUGCUCCCAAAGUGGGAUGAAUAAUCAAACCCCACAUUAUCAUGAGACACAUGACAUUUCACGGAAAUAGGAGAUGUCAUGUGAAACCUGGAGUACUUAAGAUAGUCGCUUUUCAAACAAAAAAGGCUUUUUAAGAGUUGAAUGAGAUCAGUGUGUAGCCUGGAUCUGACAAGGGGAAACUCUGCUCCUUUCAUCCUGACUCUCCACGUGGAAGUGGGAAAUUGGUUCUGUGGUUGGCACCGAGUUUGUCCUCAGCUCUUCAGCUCAGUUCAGCCCUCUGUAACCCUUGCUUAACAAGUGACUGCUCUGAAUGCUCUAUCAGCCUCUGGAAGCCAGCUUGUAUGCAAAGGGCUACAACAGCCACAUCAAAACUGAGCUCUACAGAGAAAACAGUGAAUCCUUGCCCAGAACUUCUCCUGGCACCAGCAAACGCUCUCCUGGAUGCUCUCUUGGACUGAUCCUGUGCAAGGAAACACUGAGUACACUUUCUGAUUGUGUACUGCAGCUCUGACAGAAGAAAUAAGGGAUAAGGAUUAUUUGUGUGAACCUGCUCUGUAAUCAGCAGCCAAGCAGCAAGUCCUCAACAGCCUCCACACCUGAGCACUGCUGUGCCAGGGAAGGAGAAUGGUCUCUUCUUGUCCCCCUUGGGCUUGGCUGGGACAAGCAUGGCAACCAAGCUGAGAAAGGGCUGUGGUGCUGCCAGGAAAUCUGAACACUCUGGGCAGGUCUGGAGCUGAAAUGAAGCUGGUUAGGGCCUCCAGAACUACUAACACUGGUGAAAGUGGGUACAUUUUAUAUUUACAUUGGUUAUUCCUCACAAACUGAAGAUCUUUAGGGACCGGUCUCCUUCCAACGUUUCAGCUGCAACAUAAAAAGCCUCAAGGAGCAUUUCCAGUAUGGCAAUGAUGGGAGCAUGCCGCUCCCAAGAUCUGUUUUACAUGAUCUGAGUCUGGGAGAAUCAAGGUGUAGACAAGGAUCUCAGGAGCAGAACCUGCCCACUCCCACCUGCGUGCUCGGGAAUCAUGCUCUGUCUUGUGCUGCUUGUGAUGCAACAAAUGGCUCAAGCUGUGCUACAAGCUCAGCCCAAAUUCAGGAGCAGAAAGUGAACCUGCCCAACUCCUUGCGGGUGAAUUCCCUAACUGCAGAACUAGCAUGCAAAGGAGCAAGCUGCAUCCAAAGGGCUGGAGGAAGAAACGCUCCUGCACCAUAGAUCAGCCCGAUCAGCACACUGCCAUGCAACAAGUCACAAGGAAAACUGCCUGUUCUUUAGAGUGGAGCAUCCCAUUUGGUGGUCCACCAAUUGGCCCCAGAUCAGCACUGUUCUUCAGAUUUCAGAUCACCGAUUUCUUCAACAUCAACAGAUGACUGAAGAAGCCAACAAAACAUUAUACUAUGUGAUAUAAACAUAACAGGCAAUACUAA